AAGUCGUAACAAGGUUUCCGUAGGUGAACCUGCGGAAGGAUCAUUAGUGAAUUUUUAGGGUGCUCUCUUUUCAUCAAAGAGAGGCCUGACCUCCACUCUCCAACACUGUGCACUUAUGGCGAGCUUCUUAGAGUAAUAAGUCUAACGACUUUGAUCUUUUUGGGGGCUUGCGGCUUUACCUUUAAACACCAAGUCAAAGAAUGUACAAACCAUACAAAAGGAAA
rnacentral:misc_RNA from 1 species